UACGGUAGGGGCAAGCGUUGUCCGGAUUUAUUGGGCGUUAAAGAGCGUGUAGGCGGCCUGAAAGGUCAGCUGUGAAAACUCGAGGCUCAACCUCGAGACGUCGGUUGAAACCAUCUGGCUAGAGUCCGGAAGAGGAGUGUGGAAUUCCCGGUGUAGCGGUGAAAUGCGCAGAUAUCGGGAAGAACACCCGUGGCGAAGGCGGUUCUCUGGGCCUGUACUGACGCUGAGGAGCGAAAGCGUGGGGAGCGAACAGG
rnacentral:rRNA from 1 species